UGUACAUUAACAUUACAAAUGGAUAACAUGUGGACAUUUCAUUCUGUAUUAGGGAGCUACCAUUUGAUUUAUAUGGGGGGCUAGGAUGAAAAAUUUUGUCCUGCUUAUUUAUUUUUCCCUCUAUUUGGUCCUGCCUUUUUAUUUUUCACUGUAUUCGGUCCUGCCUUUUUUUUAAAAUUUAUCCUGACUCUUCUUUUUACAUAAAUUGUCAUCCUGCCUUUUUUUUGCAAAUAAUCUCGUCCUGCCUUUUUUUUUACUCAAAACUCCUGUCCUGCCUAUUUUUUAAAAAAUUCAUCCUAGCCCCCCCAUAAAAAUCAAAUGGUAGCUCCCUUAGAUAUCUAGUAAUUUUGUUCAAUUAUCUUAAAUCCACUAAUUAGCAGUAAACAAUCAUUAACAAAGGUGAUAAAACUGCCAAAGCAUUAGGUAUUUAACGUAAUCCUUAAUAAGGAAUCAGGCGAGUCUCAAUUCGUUUGUAGUUUUGUUACUUCAGCAGUACAGCAGUGUGGUCUAAUUGAAUAUAAAAAGACCUGGCCGAGUUGAAUUCUUCCCCUAACAUGUUGUAAAGAUUCAGCGGACUCACAUCUUCAAAAAUAUUCAAUAAGUAGUAGAAGUAUUGACAGUGAAAGUUCAUUAUUGAAGAUAAGAGCUGGUCGUUUUGAAGAAGACAAUGAUACGCUAACUACAUGUAUUUGCCUUAAGCACAGGUUUGCUCUUGGUGUUGGUUGGAGACCUAGUAAGCUGUGUUUGAUACGAUGGGAAAUUUACAAAAAGUAAGAGCAACUUGAAAGGAACUAUCACAAAGGAGCAGUCUAUUUUCCUCAAGAAAUAUCAUCAUGUUCUGCUUGGAAUUGGAUCUGACAGGGAUGUAUUCCAGAUGCAGAAACGAACUUGUGCAAAGAAUGGAAGAGAAGGAAAAAAGAUUUGAACCACAUAUUUCACAAAAUGAAGCUCAUGGAGAAGUAACACAAUGCAAACAGACAGCCAGGGAUGCAAAAGAAGCUGGAAAUAUUCAGAUUGAUGAGGUUAAAUAGUCAAUGUGUUCAAUCACAUUUUGGUAGUCAUAUAUAUAAUAAACCAUUUUGACGGAAGACUGCUUGCAACUGUUUACACCGGGUUGUCUGCUAAAUAAUAGACAUUAAAACAGGAAGCAGGAGCAAUUGUUGAAAAAUUAGACUUUUGUCUUGCUGGACACAAAUUUAAAUUGCUAGUAAAAAUGUCCAUGGUUAUAUAAUUUGCUAUUAUUUUAAGCUCACCUGGCCCACACCUGUCUCAGAAAUUGAUGAAAUUACUGCAGAAGGAUCACUAACUAGUGUAGUUCAUAAAACUAUAACCAUUAGACUUGUAACUGUGUUUGUAUAAUUUUCCAGGGCGUCAGAAAAGACCAAGGUACAAUGGUAUUUUAGCCAUUUCGCCAUGAUUUGCGCGUAACGUUAAAAUUGUUUUCAUUAACGUUCUAGUAACUUUAUAAUCAUUUUAUCACAAGAUUUUUAGUCCCCUACUGACGAAGUCGAUGGGGACUUGAGGUUUUCACUCUGUCCGUCUGUCCAUCCGUCAGUCUGGCAAAUCAGCUUUCCACACUUUUUUCUUCGUUCUUGCAGAUAUUGAUUUGAUAUUUGGUAUAUAGUUUUGCCAUGACAAGUUAUAGAUCAAGUUCGAAUUUUGUUCCGGUCUGAUGAUUUAGUCCAGAGUUAUGGACCAUUACUCUGGACCAUAUCUAAUGUUAGAGUACUAUGUUAAACCAUAUUUCUGUACAAAGGGAGAUAACUUAUGUUUUAAAAGACAUUCUUUGGUAAAUUAUUUGAAGGAUUUUUUGGCAGGUUUGUUUGUUAUUUUGUAUAAACUAAUUUUCUGAAUGCUAUAUAUAUAAAAAAAAUUAUGAAGUGAAAUCCUUUAAUUAGAUAUUAAUCUAUUCUUAUUAAUGAAUAUAUUACAUUACAUUGUGUAGAUAAAAAUUGUUGACAUUUUAUAGAUAAGUUACAAAUCUAUAUUAGUUUGUGACAAAUAAAAGAAAAAAUAUUUGGAACUAUUAAUUAUAUUUGAUUAUAAUUUGAAAAUAGAUAUACACUGUAUUACAUCAUAUCUAAUUUUAUAGAACUAUUAAUCAUAUCUAAUGUUAAAGUGUUUUCCACACUUUUUUUCAUCAUGUUUGAAGAUAUUGAUUUUUUGAUUUUUUGAUUUUUGGUGUUUUAACGCCACUUUUAAGCACCGCUUUUGGGCUAUUUCGUGGCGGCCAGUUUUUAUUGGUGGAGGAAGCCGGAGCGCCCGGAGAAAACCACCGACCUUCGAUAGGAAAACUGACAAUCCUAGUCAAUUAAGAUUGGAGUCGAGUGCACCCGCACGAGCGGGGUUCGAACUCACAACCUCAGUGUUGACUGGCUAGUGAUUACAGUAGUAACUACUUAGACCACUUGGCCACCGAGGCCCCUUGAAGAUAUUGAUUGAUAAAUGGUAUAUAGUUUUAUCAUGACAAGUUAUAAACUCAAGUUCGAAAUUUUGUUUCGGUCUGAUAAUUUUGUGCAGAGUUUUGGUCCUUGGACUUGAAAAAUUCACUCAUUGAAUCAGUUUUCCACACUGUUUUUAGUCGUGCUUGAAGAUAUUGACUUGAUAUUUUCUUUUUGUAUCAAAUACUGUUUUUUGACAAUUGUGAUCUGAUAGCAGAAGAAUCUAAAACUGAGAUGUGUCAGCUAACUGAAUUAGCAAAUACUGUAUUGUAAACAUUUGACAUUUUUGAUCUUUUUUCAAAACCUCUGAUCUGAUUGAUGUAGUUAAUAUUUGAAAAAUUUCUUCUCAAUAACUGCUUAAAAAAUUGAUUGAUUGAUUGUUGUUUUUGCUUAAUGUCCAGUAGCAAAUAUUUCAUGCAUUUUCAGGACCACUUAUUGAAUUGAAACCAAGCUGUGCGACGUAAAUCAUUUUGUGAGAAGCUGUGACAUCCACGGAUCCAGUACCCCACCUUUUUCCUAUACAUGUAUUUUGAAUAUUCAAAAAUUUAUACCCUUUUAUAUACAUUUUGACCAACAAUAGACCUAUAUAGCUAUAUUUAACUACUUCAUGGAGAGUUAAAUAACAAAUAUCUGAUGCAUUUAUCACUGAGGUUAAAAUUUCAUCUAUAGAAAAUAUUCAGUUUUAGAAGCUAAUGAUAUGACCAACAACCUUAUCAACUAUUUGUAAUAUUUUUCUUGCCCUUUUAUAUAUAUUUAAUACAGAGCUCAUCCCUUCCGCUAAAUACAUAAAGGGAAACAUACAGCCUUCAACAAUAGACAUGAUUUUACUCAAUAUGUGAAGCUCUAAACAUUUACAUAACUUGUGAAUGAAUUAAACAGAAACAACAAUAAGUCCCAAUUGAUUUGAAACUGAUGCUAUAUAUAGUGUCAUCUGAUGAUGCAAUUUAAAGGUUUUUAUUCAGAUGAUUCUCAGAUUGGCAUGUGAUCCUAAGCUGGUUUUGGUAAAACUGAUACUGUUGAUUCAUUUAUUUUCGUGGGUACCAAUUUUCGUGGAUUAAGGAAAACUUACAUGUUCGUGAAUAUUUAAUUUCGUGGUUUUGCCGAAGUCUGCAUACAAGCCUAUAGAAAAUUUGGUAUUUGUUGAACAUUUAAUUUCGUGGUUCACCUGUACCCACGAAAUCCACGAAAAUUGGUAUCCAACGAAUAAUAAUGAAUCCACAUCUUUUUGCAGUGAACAUCGGGAUUAUUUUGUCAGAUAUAAAAAAUGGUAAAGAAGUAAAGUAAAAUCAUUUUACCAUGCUGUGUUGAUAAUGUAUGGACUUUCACAGUUAAACAUGUUAAAGAAAGGUGUUCAGGUCGAUAUUGGUUAUUAAUCAUGUUUACAGUUAAAGGGGUAUUAGCUACGAGAUAUAAAAAAAAUUAGAAUAUGAUUUUUUGUUUGUUCAAUCAUUAAUGAAAGUGAAAUAGUGAAAUAAUAAUUCGCUUUUAGCAGCCAGUUUGGUUCAAUUUUGUCAAAAUAAGCUAAGAAACAUUGCUGAUGAAUUAUUCACUUGCAAGUGAAUAAUUUGACCUCAUUGAAUCUGUAUUCAUGUGAACUUCAAUUUAACCCAUUAGCUAGAGAUUGGUUACGCAUGUAUUAGUCGUGUUCAGCCAUUAAAAGGAAAAGAAUGUCAACAUUGAAAGUGAAACAAGGAUGAACCAUUUCGUUGACUGAUUCGGUCGACAAAAAAUCAUUCUUAAACAGGCAAAAACGAUGAUUAACUUAUUUUUUUAGCCUAUAACGUGAAUUCAAACAGACCAAGAAAAGUCCAAUUGCACGAAGUCGCUAUCUAUUUAUAGUUAUGUUUAUAUUGGGUUAUGUGACCGUCGUAGGUUAUUGGAGGUCAUCUUGAUGAUUAAUUAGAUGGUGUCUAGACUAAAAUAUACACGAAAUGCUGAUAUAUAUUAUCGAGUCCAUGCAUUGUUAAUUGUUUAUUUCAGACUUAUCGUAUUUUGGAUAUACGCUUUAGUAUAUUAUAAAUCAAAUAUGAGAAUUUGAGUCAAAUCAGUGAACAUGAAUUUGACAGCUAAUGCCCCUUUAAUGGAAUACAACAUAUUGCUUAUCUACAUUGUUUUAAAAUAUUGUACAAAAUGUAAGUGCAAUUCUAAUGUAUCAUUAAAAGAUUGAAAUUUUUAGCAAAAACUUCACCCUGUUGCUAUGGUAAUUUAUUUGUUGCUAAGGAUUUCAUUUUGCUGCUUUCAAUGCAGAUGUUAAAUUUUGACAUUGCUUGUAUAUAUUUUCUUGAAACAUUGCAGUAUACCUGAAUACAUUAAAAAAAAUGUGAUUGUAAACAUUUUGCAUGUCAUGUUGCUCAUGUUCUAUCGUUGUUGCUAUGGUCUUAAUUGUGUAGCUUUAAAUUUUUUCUUUGAAUUAUACUGAAGCAAUUGGGUAUUGCUUAAAAAAAUUGUGAAGAUACAUGAUACAUUUUAUAAAUUUUGAAUAAACCUACAGAUUUUCAUUUUAAGCACUGAAAAUAUCAUGUUGCUAAGGCACCAAUUAUGUUGCUAUGGAAUAUUUGUUAUUUUUGUUUUUGUCUUUUCUUUUGAUAUAAUUGUAAAAAUUCACUGUUGCUUGUAUGAGUUUUCUAGAUACAUGAUAAAACAUAUGAAAAUGCCCAAAAAUUAAAAUUAUAAGCAACAUAUGCCUGUUGCAAAGGUAGAUUUUAUUGUUGCCAUGGUGUAAAUUUAGUUGCUAUGGGUUUUUUACUAAUGAAAAUGACUGCAAUCAUAGUGUGCUUUGACCCUGUUAUGUUUUCCAUAUAAAAUGUUUACUAAAAUGACAAAAAAAAUGUUUGUAGAUCUGUCACCAAGGUCCAGAGCACUAUUAGAUAAGGGGGAGCUAACUCGUAUGUACUUGAACCAAGGAACAGGGGGUCAGUCUAUCGCUAGACUUAAUGUUCUGAUAGGCAUAGCUUAAACGCAAUAAAGGUUUUCAUAAUUUAAUAAUGAUAACAAUUUAGAUGAAUGAUGAUAACAAUCAAUUAGUAAACAAUGCCAAAUAAUAAUAAUCUAAUUCAAGUUCAAAGUAUCAAAUCUAAAUAUCAAAUUCAAAGUAAAACUAUUUCUCUUAUACUGUAAAAUACAAAAUAAAUGCCAAAACUACUAAUUCAUAAAAUGAACUUAAUCUCAAAAUCAAAAUGUAAAAGUCUCAAAAAUAUAAUAAUUCUCAAAUAGAAAUUGCAAAAGGUAAUAAAUGUGAGUCAGAGAUAAAUUUUGUCACAACACUAAACCGUCAACUGGUAGAUUGGUAGACAGUCUUGUAGGUCCAGUAUCAUGACGUGAGUAGUGAGAGGUUAUGGUUCAGAAACACUGACUGCCUUUCCUAAAUUUCACAACGAUAUUUAUACUAAAUCCCAAAAUAAAUAAAUAUGUCUCGACAUGUUAAAAGUACUCUCAUUAGUAAAAAUAGACUUUAAUAAACAUAAAGCCUAAUCCUAUAAUGUUUUGAUAAAAACUUAAACUAUCCUAGUGACAUAUGCUAAUUACAAUUAAUAUUUCAAAACAAAUUACUUUAAUCACACUGUGACAUCUCCAGUACUUGCCACAGCAUAGGUAAAAAUUAAUUAAACAAUUUAGUUAAAAAAAUUUACAAAAUACAAACACAAAAUUUUCUUUCUAAAGAUAAAACACAUUAUUUAUACAAAAUCAUACUAUUAAAAAUAUAAGCCAAAUAACACACCAUGACAGAUCAUAACAUUUUAUCCAAACAUUUACUGAUCAAUUUCUGAAAUUGUAAAUAAAAAUGCAAUUUUUGGUUAAAAAAAAUUUCUUGGAUUAUGAGCUACCAAAUUUUAUUUGAUAAGGUAAUAGUAUAGUUACGUGUCCUCAAAGAAAAUAUGAUUUAGUAAAGUCAGAUCUUUUGUGUUUUUAGGCAGAGGACUUGAACAAUUGUAAAGCAUUUUUUCAUGAUUUUUAACUGAAAUCCCAUGUUUUCUUCAAGUUACCAUAGCAACUAUACAAUAAUAUAUAAAGUUACAAUUGACAUAUUGUUACUUGUUACAAAUGAUCAUAUCCUUAUGGGAAUCACUGAAAAUAAAUAUUAUCUACAGUUUCUUUGUUGUUUUGACAUUUUAAAAUGCCACAUCUUUGAUGAUUUUUCCAUAAUUAUAGACUAUAUAGCAUGCUAUAUCAGCUUCGUUGCUAUGGAAACAGUUUAAGUCCAACAUUUGCACAAAUAUGAUCAAAAAUGUGUUUUUUGUUAUAUUCAAAAAAGACAUUAUAUAAAUGAUGAAUGAUAAUUUGGAAAUAUUUUUUUUUUCAUUUUUGGUAGGUUGGUUUUUUAUUCAUUUUCAGAAUGCUGUAUACAUAUUUAUUUACUUUUGAUGAAGCGAACUCUUUUCAAAACUUACCUAAUAUUGUCCAUGGGAACCCCUGUAAGAAUUUAGCUAACAUUGUCAGUCAAUGAAUAAAUAAAUCAAAUUCUUGGUGUACUUAGACAUGCUGAAUCUAACUGUGUAUUUAGAUUUUGAAUAUUGAACCAUAAUUGGUAAAAAUCCAAUUUAAAAUUUUUCAGUUCUUUCACCACAUUCAUUCUGUGUCAAAUAUUUAAUCACAAUCCAAAUUCAAAGCUGUAUCAAAUAUUUAAUCACAAUCCAAAGUCAAAGCUGUAUCAAGCUGUCAUGGAUAGAUACCCGAUAUCCUUUGUUUUUCUAUUGAAUGUAGUGUCCAGACUUGCCCAAACUGUUCAGGGUUUGAUCUCUGUGGUCAUAUCAAGCUGUGCCCCAGCGGAACAUUUUAUUUUCUAUAUUCAGUUUUUAUGAUAACAAAAUUAGUCUUAUUUUUAUAUACUGUGCAAAACAAAAAGAUGAUCUGAAAUAUAGCUAUUGGAUUAUAUUUCUACAGUAACCUUAUAAACAGCCCUGUAAAGGUGUAUGUUUUUUUAAUUCAGUUGUUUAAUUAAUCCUUAUGUGAAUAUAUUGCUAAAUGUACUAUUUUUGAAAGGAUGAUAAGAAUAAUUGUUUCUCUAAUUCUUCGUCAAUUUAUCCCUUUCUGCACCCAUUGUAUAAAAAAAAUUUAAUCAACGUGUGGUUCGUUUGAUCUCAGUUCUUCAUUGGUUAAAAUCCGAUUAUGACGUCGAAUUUUCUUGCUUUCCUCUGAAUUUCCUAUUGUGACGGCAUGAAAAAAGGCGACCAUGCCUGAUGACGUCACAUAGAAAGAACAUAUCUUUUUGCAGAUCAUUCCAAAAGAAGGAAUAAAUUUGCCUGCGUAUUGUUUGAAAAUCAUUAGAGAAACAGAUUCCACCACCAAAUCUCGUGUAAUACGAUAUUUAUCCACUCUCGGCAGUUAAAUUUUAAAUAUUUAAAACGCUCGGCGAGUCUCGCGUUUUAAAUUUGAAAAUUUAACUGUCUCGAGUGGAUAAAUAUCGUAUCACACUCGAUGCAGUGGUAGAAUCUAUAUAUAUGAACUUUAUAUUUAUAAAAAUAUAAGCAUGCAAUGGCGAUAGAUUUCAUAUUAGUCCAUUUUUUUUUAAGAAAUUUUGCACCUUUUUUUACCUUUUUCUAGAUUUUAUAUGUGGCUCCACUCCUUGCCCAUUGACAUUUUGGUUAAAAAGUAAAGAAUACUAUAUAUAUGAAUAUGUCAGCAAAUUAUGGUGGCACCUCUAUAAAUUUUUGAGAAUACUGCCAUAAAUUUUGCCAAAUUAUGCAAAAAAUAAGGUUUUAACAAAAUCCACCUACACUUAUGAUGUCACCGAUAUAUAUUUAUUAGUGAAAAUCUUUGUUUAAAUGAAGAAAUAAAACAUUUUAAUGUAUGUUUUCAUAACAAUAUCACAUGUAUAAAAUGUUCUUUUUUUUUUUAAAGAAAAACUGUACGAUCUAUAUUAUAAACUUUUAUUGCUUAUUAGAUGCAAGAAGAACAACUGGAGGAAUAUUCGUUGUAAUGUUUGUGACUUAUGUUGACUGAAAUGACUUUGUUUGAAAUAAAGUUUUGUACCAAAAAAUGUUA